rnacentral:rRNA from 1 species
AGUGAACGCUGGCGGCGGGCUUAACACAUGCAAGUCGAACGGAGUGGCGCACGGGCGAGUAAGGUAUAGCUGAUCUGCCCCACACUAGAGGACGACAGUUGGAAACGGCUGUUAAUAAUACAUAGUGUAGGUGGAGGGUAUAUUGUAUCAGCUAGUUGGUGAGGUAAUGGCUCACCAAGGCGAUGACGAAUAACUGGUCUGAGGGGACGAGCAGUGGCCCUGGAACGGAGACACGGGCGGGGCUCCUACGAGAGGCAGCAGUAGGGAAUAGUGCUCAAGGGGAGUAACCCAGAAGCAGCAGCGCCUCGUGGAGGAUGACCCUUUUCGGAGCGUAAACUCAUUUUGUUAGGUAAGCGGUACUUAACGAAUAAGCACCGGCUAACUCCGUGCCAGCAGCCGCGGUAAUAC